UUGUUUCAGCAAUACAUGUAAUAAAAUUGGAAAGAUACAGAGAAGAGCAGCAUGGCCCCUGCGCAAGGAUGACAGGCAAAUUCAUGAAGCAUUCCAUAUUAAA